rnacentral:rRNA from 1 species
UACGGAGGGGGCUAGCGUUGUUCGGAAUUACUGGGCGUAAAGGGCGCGUAGGCGGUAAAGUAAGUUAGACGUGAAAGCCCUAGGCUUAACCUAGGAUGUGCGUUUAAGACUACAUUACUUGAGUACGAGAGAGGAAAGUGGAAUUCCUAGUGUAGAGGUGAAAUUCGUAGAUAUUAGGAAGAACACCGGUGGCGAAGGCGGCUUUCUGGCUCGUAACUGACGCUGAGGCGCGAAAGCGUGGGGAGCAAAUAGG